rnacentral:rRNA from 1 species
UCUUGGGUCAUUUAGAGGAAGUAAAAGUCGUAACAAGGUCUCCGUAGGUGAACCUGCGGAGGGAUCAUUACACAAAUAUGAAGGCGGGCUGGAACCUCUCGGGGUUACAGCCUUGCUGAAUUAUUCACCCUUGUCUUUUGCGUACUUCUUGUUUCCUUGGUGGGUUCGCCCACCACUAGGACAAACAUAAACCUUUUGUAAUUGCAAUCAGCGUCAGUAACAAAUUAAUAAUUACAACUUUCAACAACGGAUCUCUUGGUUCUGGCAUCGAUGAAGAACGCAGCGAAAUGCGAUAAGUAGUGUGAAUUGCAGAAUUCAGUGAAUCAUCGAAUCUUUGAACGCACAUUGCGCCCUUUGGUAUUCCAAAGGGCAUGCCUGUUCGAGCGUCAUUUGUACCCUCAAGCUUUGCUUGGUGUUGGGCGUCUUGUCUCUAGCUUUGCUGGAGACUCGCCUUAAAGUAAUUGGCAGCCGGCCUACUGGUUUCGGAGCGCAGCACAAGUCGCACUCUCUAUCAGCAAAGGUCUAGCAUCCAUUAAGCCUUUUUUUCAACUUUUGACCUCGGAUCAGGUAGGGAUACCCGCUGAACUUAAGCAUAUCAAUAAGCGGAGGA